GGUUCCUAUACUAAAAUUAGGCCUAUAAUGAAUAGAAGGUAUAAUUAUAGCAUAUCCGACGCAUGCGCAAAAUUACUCGAAGACAGGUCAAUUGCUUGGGCGUUAAAUAAACUUUGCCGAACAAUAAACUGCUUUCACAAAUGUGGCCGAGAAGAUUUAUGAAAUGUGGAUUGUCCUUACAUAGCUAAAAAGAGAAACAUAUUAUUUUAAAGGAACUCAGUAUAGUUUAGGAAUGGGGUUGUCUAGCAGCAAACAGAAAUGGUCUUAUAAGAUCAGCUAUUACCCGGAGGUCGGCCAAAAUCUACAGGGCCAUAUUCUUGACAGUCGCACUAUUCUUAACGCAAAUGAACUGAUGGAACCCUCGAGGGAGAGCAUAUUAUGUGUUUAUUCCUACACAGUUCCGUUGAACAAUAUCCCAGGUGCAAGUUGGUGGUUCUAUCACAGGUUUGUCGUAUUUAAAACAAAUAGUUGGUGGUGGUCAAUAGAGAAGAAUGAUGCAGAAAUAAUAAUACAAAGGGGCGAGAGAGAAGAAGAUGUAAAAGACAGAAUAGAGCGCCAACCAAGAAAAGGAGGGGCAAGAAUAAUACUUGAAAAGAAGAAUUCGUCAAAUAUAAAGAUUAAAGGCCUUCUAGAGGCGAUUGAUGUAAAAAAUGAGUCGCAUGAAAAGUACCAUAUCCUUCAAAGCAAUUGUCAAGAUUUUGGAGAGCGAAUGUACGACAUUCUCCGAGGCACAAUAUAGAGAAUAGAACACCUCAUACAAAUAAAACAUUAACAUAAACAAUACAUAACGCUUUCACAAAAAAGGCACUAUGCAAAUUACUUAUGCUUAAUAACAGCACUUCUUUAUGGUGAAAAUGUAUCUACAUACAGCGGAUUUAAGAAUGUUAUUUAAACUCCUCAGAUAGUUUUAACUGUUAAAUAUGAUGUAAGAUUUUCAUUCUUUCUACAGACGAGGACUAAUGCGCAUCCUUUGAAACACAAAGAUGAUAACAAAACAUCGCCUGAAAAAUGCAAAUAAAUUAUAUUUAACAUUUUAAGUAUCAAGGAAAAGAAGAGGAAUAUACUUAUCAACUGUACUUUCUUGUUUCAACAUUUUUGUGGAUGUAUCAUUUUGGAGAAUAUGGUAUCUACCUUAUGCUAAACUUUUGCUGUUUCCAAAACGCAUGGUCCCUCUGAGAAUGUUUUAUUUCAACAGUAAUAGUGUGCCGAAACAUUCAAGCUGUUCCAUAGCACAAACACAGCUCAGUUUGCAGGACCUCAACAAAAACUAGUUGUAUAAGAAUUAAAAUUGAAAUUCGAAAAUGAACAAAGAAGAUAUUUUACCAGUAAUUUUCCGACUUUUUGGUAACAUUUAUAAGUCCUUUUCAAUUACUAAAUAAUUCAUUAAUGGCAAUAGUUUCAAUUUAUGAGCAGGUGAUUUACCUUACUGAAUAGAAUUAAACAUUUCUCAAACUCUGUUUUCAAGUCUGCCCAUUUCAUUUAUUGACACGAGAAUACAUGUUGUCAUUUUCAGCAUAAUAACAAAACAACCGUAAGUUAAAUAAAGGUAUAAUUCAUUAUACUCAAAAAACAAAAGUUUGUUGACUAAAGUGUAAACUGGCACUACAUUGUAAUAAAAGCUUAAACUCAGAAAUGAUACUUUGAAUACGUUAGAACGCCAGCGCGCGUGUGUAUGCGUGCGUGCGUGAUAAUACUGCUAUAAAUAAAUUGUUUGUUUGAUUUAGAUUUAGCGCAAAAGUAUGUAAUAGCAUGCAUUAUAAUCUUACCUAACCAGUGUACCUCGAUUUUGUACAUGUACUAACCUGUUUCCACUAGCAGCUGUCAACUUCUCCACAUGCAUCAGAAGUGGAGAACGAAAUGACUAAAGACACAAUGUCUUUAAUUUAACGUACGCUUCGCUCGGUGGUCAAAUUCACGACCUCCUGAUUUAUACGUCUGAGCUCUCGAUAUUGAGCUAAAUGAGCAGGAGUAGCAUAAUGAUAGGCAGGUUUUGAUUAACGUUAUCUUUAAUUAGUUGACUUAAUUUGUUUAUCAGAGUCAAGUAUACUUAAACUCCUUCCAAGACAAAUGUUAACUAAAUAGUAUGCUAUGGAGAGAAUUAUUUGAAAAUCUACUUUAAAUCAUUAUUCUACUUAUACAAGAACAUUUAAAGUUUACGAAAAUUAGUGACUUUUCUAGUCCGAUCAAUUCGUAACAGAAAAUGCCAAAAUACUUCAGAAAAUGGGAAAAGCACCAAACUUGGCACAGCUUUUUAUUAAAUCAUAAAAAAAAAACAUGUUUUCAUGGGACCCAUUUGAUAUCUGUCAAGAUGGCCAAUACGGCGGCCAUUUUCCAAAAUGGCCGCCACAACUCCAUAUUUACCUUACAAGAUUCUAAUGAAAGGUCAUUAUAUUUACAUUCAUCCCUAAAUUCACUAAAUAUUAAUGUAUAUGAUAAAUUUAAUCCUAAAUUCAAAUGCAAAAAUAACAAUUCAAAUAAUGUUAAUUUCUUUCUGUUUCCAUGGUAACGUCUAAAAUCUAGCCUUUAAAACUCAGUUUAAUAUUAUCAUUGUAUUUUGUCAUAUUUUAACGGAUGUUUUGUUUUACUAUAUGUAAUUUACAUGAUUUUAUAUGCAUUUCCUCAGCAGCAGGAUACUGAAACAUUGUUGUUAUUCCCCCACCAUUGUUAAGCCAGAGGGGGCUUAUAGGUUGCCCCCAUAUGCCUGUCAAUACGUCAGCCAUGCAAAGUAGGAUACUGCAAUAACUUUAAAGCUACAGCAGGUAUUUUCAAGAUACGUGGUAUAUGGAUAGAUGGCAUUGUUGCCAAUGUCAUUUAAAUUUGUUCCUAUGGCAACAAAUGUUGUUGCUAUGGCAACAAAUAGUGCACGGAUAUGACAAAAAGUGUCAUCCUGCAUUUCUUCAAAACUAGGAGAGAUUGUUCCUUGAGAAUUGUUCAUAGAUAGGAGGAAAAUUGAAAACAUGCUUAUUUUCCCCUCUUGUACAUCAUUUUGUCCGUCUGUAUGUCCGUCCAUCAUUUGCAAAUGGCGGAUUCUUCAAUAACUUCAAAAGUGCAAAUUCUAAAGACUCCUUUAUGAAAACUUGUUUAUAGAUGGUAGGUAAUAUAGAGAAUGUGAAGGUCAAUUAACUUAGUUUCUAUAUAAAAUUGUAGUUCCUAUGACGUACACUAAGUACGACAACUAUCCCUUUCGGUUUGGGACUUCGAAAUGCAAGAAUAGAUUAUAGCGAUGGGCUAGUAGGAUCAAAUGAAACAACAUGCCUUAUUAUGCACCCGCAGCCACAAUGUCUGCAUAAUAAGUUAAUCACAUAAUCAUUGAUUAUGUAAUGCUAACUGUGUAACAAAGAAGAGUAAGGCUGAAAAUAUUAAAGUUGCUUUCACGGACAACAUUACGUAUAACGAUAACUAUUCUGCUAAAUAUAUUACUCUGCACAGUGAGCUGAAAUCUGAAAUAAGGUACAUGUCAGAUACUCGUGUCAGUACACACAAGCACGAGAUUGUCGACAACUUAAGUUAACUUGCAUAAGGCAGUGCAGAGCAUUUCAGCACUUUUGACAAAUUACAUCUUCCUCGACAGCCUUUAUCUAGGUUGCAAAUGCACUUGAGGAGCUAUUGGUAUGAGCCUCAGGUACUUGAGGCAAAAACUACCAGAAAGGUUCCAAUUUAUCAAAGAUACCUCUGGUCAGCCUUAUUUAUCUGGACUUGGAAUUUUAGGAAAGUGAUUGAUCGCAAACGACAAGAAGAAGAAGAAGAAGGAAAGUGAUAGAACAUCUGACCCCCAUAUGUGCCCGACCUAAUGGGCAACCUUUUUUAGUAUGUUCAAGAGGUGUAGCAGACGAUGCAGGAAUGCACAAUAUAGCACUAAUCUUUGUGUGAACAGAUGGUUGAUUAGCUACUUGACAUGUUUUGUUGUAAAGAAGAGUAUCGAAAGCCUCCAUCUAUACCACAGAAAUAUUAUAUGAACAGUUUGUUUGUAGGAAGGUGUAGAAAAUGCAUUUUAAAGCUUGAUUCACCGGUAAGCGCGAGCUGUACUUGUUAGUUUUGUUUGACAAGACAGUGUUAUUCUUACAUUGGACUGCUCAACUGGUAGUGGCAUAGCCUUGCAAAUGGCAAAUAGAUAAUAUUUGUUGUCUUUAAACUAGUAAACUGGUGUUAAAAUUGUUUUUCGGAUACACGUGCUCAUUAGAUAAAUCCUCAAGUACUCGCAUUUAAUAUGUCCUUAUCUAAUAUAUUUUAAUUUCAGUAAAAUGUCCAGAAAUAGAUAUUAGAGCACAAUUUUUGUAGAAAUGAUAGAUUCUGCUCCUAAUUUAUACCCCCAUCACACUCAGCCACGUUUCCACUACGUCCUAAAAACUGGCAGGAUGCAGUAAGAACUUGUACAAUGCAGAAGGAAUAGAGAAGACACAGAAGAACAUGAUAAUUAUAGUCUCCACGAGAGAUGUUCAACACAAACUUACUGCAAACCUUUUGUAUGUAAAUUUUAACCCUCUAAAGAAGUACAUUUUAUCUGAUGUCUAACCAUAUGUUCGGAGCCAGGGGCAAUAAAAAUGUCAAUGUAGACACAACCGGCUGGAGUAACUCCCCUCUUAAUGAAGAACACAUAUAUACCUCUUUCAUUUGUAAAUCAGAACAAACACACGGACAGAAGCCGUGCUUCUAGAAAACCAGAUGCGCUUGAAACGAUCUUUUUCAUCAUUAUAACACACGGUACAUAUUGUAUGCAGCAACCUUUGAUAUCUCUCUUUUUUCAAAUAGUUUGGGUGGAUGAAACAUAAAGUAAAACUCAUGGAAUCAUUUAUAUUCUUAAUAUUUACUUAUAAAUGAAUUUACUUUCUAGAAAGAAACAUAAGACAAAAAUGUGGAGAUUGAAAGAAUUAACACAAAAAAAUCAACUCUGAAAAUACCAAAAGGAUCAUUUCGCAACAGGUUUUACUGUAUUUUUUCUGGCUAUUCUAGCUAUUCUGGCUAGCCAUGGUAGCUAGAACCAAUGGGCAUCUCGGAAAUUCUGGCUGUACUGCACUUCUCCUCGUUGCUAUCUACUUAUAUGCUGUAAUGGGCUGACGAACAUAUUCGAUUACUGACCCGGUUUAACCAGAUUUAGCUAUUUAAAUAAGAAAAAUAAUCUUUAAAGUUUGGAUGUCUCGAAACCCAUAUGCUUGAAUGUUGUCAAUUUACGUCAUGGCAUAGUAAAUCUGCACAUCAAUCACACGUGUAAUUAAUUAUCUUGAUGUAGCUAAUUAUCUUGAUUAACAAAUCAAAACACGCACUUCUUGCAAGAUGUAUAAUUUCAAUUAUCGUACAAUACAGCUGAAUUCAACAAUUUCAACUUGGAUUGUUCUACAAUGUUAAAACACUGUUACACAUUGCACAAAGAUACGUUGUACAAAAUUAAAACAUUGCUAUACAUUAUCCACAGAUAUGUUGUACAAAGUUAAAACAUUGCUACACAUUACCCAAAGUUAAGUUGUACAAAGUUAAAACAUUGCUAUACAUUAUCCACAGAUACGAUGUACAAAGUUAAAACAUUGCUACACAUUACCUAUAGAUACGUUGUACAAAGUUGAAACAUUGCUAUACAUUAUCCAUAGAUUCGUUGUACGUAGUUAAAACAUUGCUAUACAUUUUCAACAGAUAAAUUGUACAUAGUUAAUUGCUAAAAAAUAUAUACAGAUAUGCUGUUCAAGUUCCGCGACAGCAUGCAAAAACCAGAGUUCUUGGACGAUUGUAGAUAUUGUACAAUAUCAACAAUCAACGGUUGAAAUCGACACACUGGAUUGUUAUUUGCAACACAUUGUUGGCGUAAGGUAUUUAUGGAGGAACAGUCCUUGUGCUUUGAAGAAGUGUGCUUUAUAUGAUAGCGAUACUCAGUUGCCGGUUCCACCUUUCAAAAAGAUUUUUGGACCAUCAGAAGAAUCUGUGAUUUGAUAAUUGAGCUU